rnacentral:lncRNA from 1 species
CAACUAUUAAAGGGAAUUUCUACAUUCUACGGGCUUUUGUCGGAACUAUACUAGUUGGACAUUGGACGUUCAGUGAAAAAUAAUUCUAUUGUGUUUUAUUUUCAGAUGUCACUACUAUAAAACAUUUGCUAUCAAAAUUAUCUUAGUACUAUGCAUUAGAAUUAUUUCAACUCAAUCGUUGAGUCAUAUUCAGUCAAUCAAGCACUGUUUUUUGCGCUUUGGUG